rnacentral:lncRNA from 1 species
UCCCUCCAGGGGCUUCACUUCGCCUGAGAGUUGACACCUUUCUUCUGCCUGAGAGUUUAGUCACUCCAUCGGUGCCCUUUUUGACUCUAAGCACUCUUCGCACCAGUCUUCGCCAUCUCCACCGGCUCCCCGCCGCCUUCAGUCUUCCGAGCCCCUUCGAGGGGUUCUCCCGCCGGGGCUUCUGCCCCGGAGGCCAACCUCGAGAGGAUGCCAC